rfam:Stegodyphus mimosarum contig99510, whole genome shotgun sequence.
UAUAUGGUGCUUUUUAGCACCAUAUAUUUUGCAUAUGCAUUAAUA